GCCUUCUCAACCGAAAGAGUCCCCAAAGCCUAAGGUGCAAGAACCCAUGGAAGAGGAAGAUGAGGUGCCCAAACCCAAGCCAAAAAAUCCUCUAGUCCUGCUUCCUCCCGGUAAGAUGAUAUUAGAUGAGUGGAAGAGGCUUUAUUCUAAUACGAAAAUGAACUUCGGUGAGGUUGCUAUCAAAGGUACCUUUCCUGCUUUUGUCUGGUUGUUAAACUCAUGCAAUGAUGAUCCUUUGUUUGCCGUAGAAACAAGAUGGUAUCUGUUAUGAUAGUGAAACCGAUGUCAUCUUCUUGGGGAAAUCUGAGACAUGAUGGCUUCUUUCAUCAUUCAGUUUCUGCUGAUAAUGUGUGGCGCCAGUUAGUUAAAAGAACUGUAUGCGCUAUUUUUUUUUUCUGGUCUAUGCUAAAAUUUCAGAAAACUCCUGUUUCUUGUUGCUGCUUAUAUGUAGAUCUUUGAAUGAAGAGGACCUUUUUUUUUCUUUUGUAGCUAAAGAAGUCGGAAUUUGACAUGCAGGUAAGGCUUUAUACAUUGACCCUUGUAGCCUUCCUAGAGCCUGCAGGCACAGAGGCAGGAGCCUCAUUUUCAGGUUUCUGGGAUAUGUAUGACCGACCCCGAGGGGUACUCACUGUGGUUCUGUGACUAAAAAUACAUUCUUGACCCUGAACAAAGUGAGUGGUUUCCUCCAGCGCAUGGACUUUUUGGGUCGGAAAUGUGCAUUUGGAAAGAUGCUUGUCAAUGCUUGGGAGCCACCGUAGAAGGUAAAGGGGCUGUGGCUCUUCCGGGGCGAGGAGAUCCCCACAAUUUGUGUUGGAUGAUUGCUAUGACAUGGAGCUAAGGUUAGAGAUUGCCGAUGAAACACACGAGGAGCGAGUGAACGGAGGACCAGUAGUCAUUUGAAGCCGAGGCCCUGUCGAAUGCCGAGUAAAAAGUCCUCCAUCCAGUCUGGCCCAGCAUAAUAUUAGUAGUUGUUACUAUGACUUGUAUGGCAUUGCUUAGCACUGUCUUGAAUAUUUUUGAAAUGUGAUAUUUAUAUGUGAUUGUCUGA